rnacentral:rRNA from 1 species
UACAGAGGUCUCAAGCGUUGUUCGGAUUCAUUGGGCGUAAAGGGUGCGUAGGUGGCGCGCUAAGUCAGGUGUGAAAUCUCGGGGCUUAACUCCGAAACUGCAUUUGAUACUGGCGUGCUUGAGGACUGGAGAGGAGACUGGAAUUCAUGGUGUAGCAGUGAAAUGCGUAGAGAUCAUGAGGAAGACCAGUGGCGAAGGCAGGUCUCUGGGCCAUAACUGACGCUGAGAAGCGAAAGCAUGGGGAGCGAACAGG